CGGAAGUGGCGGAAUUGGUAGACGCACCAGAUUUAGGUUCUGGCGCCGCAAGGUGUGAGAGUUCAAGUCUCUCCUUCCGCACCA
rnacentral:tRNA from 1 species